rnacentral:rRNA from 1 species
CAGGUCAGCAUACUGCCGUGAAUACGUUCCCGGGCCUUGUACACACCGCCCGUCACACCAUGAGAGUUGGGAAUACCCGAAGCCUGUGAGCUAACUGUAAGGAGGCAGCAGUCGAAGGUAGAAUCAAUGAUUGGGGUGAAGUCGUAACAAGGUAUC